CUUACUUUGCCACCGGGUAAAGAUAUUUAGGUGUUCGAGGCAUUCCGUUAGGUCUUAGAAGGAAUGCUUGGGGCACUUUUUUAUUU
rnacentral:ncRNA from 1 species